rnacentral:rRNA from 1 species
AGCAGCCGCGGUAAUUCCAGCUCCAAUAGCGUAUAUUAAAGUUGUUGCAGUUAAAAAGCUCGUAGUUGAAUUUCGGGGUCAGUAGGUUGGUCGUGCCACUGGUAUGUACUGAUCUCACUGAUUCCUCCUUCCUGAUGAGCUGUAAUGCCAUUAAUUUGGUGUUGCAGGGAAUCUGGACUGUUACUUUGAAAAAAUUAGAGUGUUUAAAGCAGGCUAACGCUUGAAUACAUUAGCAUGGAAUAAUGAAAUAGGACGUUCGAUCCUAUUUUGUUGGUUUCUAGGAUUGACGUAAUGAUUAAUAGGGAUAGUUGGGGGCAUUAGUAUUCAAUUGUCAGAGGUGAAAUUCUUGGAUUUAUUGAAGACUAACUACUGCGAAAGCAUUUGCCAAGGAUGUUUUCAUUAAUCAAGAACGAAAGUUAGGGGAUCGAAGACGAUCAGAUACCGUCGUAG